AAUUACCACCGAGCGGCGGG
rnacentral:snRNA from 1 species